rnacentral:lncRNA from 1 species
UCUGAUUCUAGAAUUCUCUAAGCUUCUUGUGUCUUUUGAGAUUUCAAUUCCAGUUUAGAAGUUUUAAGAUAUCCUUUAUUAGGUCUUUUAUGCUUCAGUUUUGGAACUUUAAGAGUCCUAAUGAGUCUUUAAUGCUAGUUAGUGUCAGCUCUAGCAUAUAUAAGUGUAAGUGCCUAAUGGCUGGUCAUGUUAUGUUAAUUAUCAGUGUUUCUGAGUUGCCUAUGAAAGGAUAGUCGAGAAGCCUAGUUUUGGGUGAGAGAACUGGGAGUGAUUCCUAAUUCCAAGUGUUAUUUGUGUGUUUAAAGCCCUCAGCCGUAGAGCUUGUUGAUCCUGGUGUCU